AGUCUUAAUAUUUUGACCAAGGAGGCUGGAUAUAAGGAGGCUGAUCUCCGCGUUUCCCAAAUGAGGUGACGCGUAUGCAAAAUUGAACGAUAACUGGGUUCGCCGAGUAGCCACCUCGGCGCUGUUGGUCAGAAGUGUGCCUCGCUCUGAUUGACUACUCUGCGCGUUAUUAUUAUUUUCACUCGCGUCAGAUUGACGUUUUCAAAAGAGAAUUUUUGAUAAAUUAUUGUUUUGAAUUCAUUUUCAAUGGAAAUAAGGCGAUAAAUAAUUCGCGGUAGCACGAUCAGCUGUCGUUCGGAUCGGAAAAGAAGAAAAAAAAGGGCUUUAACUCUUUUAAAGUUUCCACAGGAUGAACAUAAAUUUCGAAAAUGGCAAGAGGUAUUGGAUUACAUUAAAAAAGAUAAACACGUAUACGAGUUGCACUUUUCUAAAAAAGAUGUUGUCAGGAUAUAUCGUAAAGUAAUUGAUCCUGAUAGGAGUAUAAAAUACUUACCAGAUACAAAGGCAACUUUACAAAGAAUGGCAUGUCAAUUACUUAAAAAUGCCGAAUAUCGCAUUAUGAUUAACAUUAUGAAAAGGUGGCUCCCACUAAUCAGAGCAAGGUACAGUUCUGACUAAUAGCGCCGAUGUAGCAACUUUUUGAAACUAGUUUUCGUUUGUUUUUGGGUACACACGUUUAGCAUACAGAUCAGUCUCCUUAUUUUGACAUUUCUAUCCCAAUACACCCUUAAAAAUCUUUUAUAUAUUUAGACAAAUGUGAGUUAAUAGAGGGUGCAUAUGGAAAUCAAUCUAUGAUACUCGACACAGCUAGUAUCAGCAUACGAAUGGCUGGGAGGUUUCAGAAUGGUUCCAACUGACUUAUAAUGCAUUUUUUUAAUGUUCUUUCUUACUCAUUUAACUCCCUCCCUACUCUUGAAAAAUUUCAAAAUUUAAGUGAAAAAAAGCUUGAAAAAUCAUUCUAUGAAACCACAGAAUACCUCAAUGCAUUUAGUUAGUUAAGAUAUUGAUCUUCUCAAUGUAUUGUUUUUGUAUUAUUUUUUAAUAUUAUUGUCCUAUUAAGUUAUUGUACUUAAUAAGUUUUCUUUUUUUAUCUUAUAGUAUAAGAGCUUUAUAUGGUAGUAGGUGAGAGAAAGAAGGAUUGUGGAGCAUUACGGUAUUUUUUCUAUUUUAUUUUGUUUGACUUAUGUAUAUACAUCACUAAAUUUUGCGCAUAAUAUAUUUAAUUUGAUUUGAA